AGGUCAUACAGUCUGAUGUUCGAUAAUUUAGCUGGUGGAAGAUUUCAAUAUGACGAAGAGUUUCAGAGAUUAUUUGAAGAUGGUUAUUCCUUAAGAUUAGUUAGAGUGACAUUAGCUAUUUACUUCAAACAAUAUGAGUUAUUUUUUAAGGUUUUGUGAUAUUAAUAUUUUGGAUUAGUACUUCCUUUUGUUCGUUAAGAUUUAACGAGAUAUACUAUAGUUUAUUUUUUAAGGUUUUGUGAUAUUAAUAUUUUGGAUUAUCACUUCCUUUUGUUCGUUAACAUACGAGAUAUACUAUAGUUUUAUGAAUUAAUAUCAACAUAGUUUGUCAUGUG
rnacentral:lncRNA from 1 species